rnacentral:rRNA from 1 species
UAGCCGUAAACGAUACUCGCUAGGUGUCGGCCACGGUGCGACCGUUGUCGGUGCCGUAGGGAAGCCGUGAAGCGAGCCACCUGGGAAGUACGGCCGCAAGGCUGAAACUUAAAGGAAUUGGCGGGGGGAGGCACAACAACGGGUGGAGCUUGCGGUUUAAUUGGAUUCAACGCCGGAAAUCUUACCGGGACCGACAGCAACAUGAAGGCCAAGCUGAAGACUUUGCCGGAUUAGCUGAGAGGUGGUGCAUGGCGUAGUCGUGU